GAAACCCCUCCCUCUCGUCCUCCCUCGCCUCCUUCCGCGCGGAGGGACGGACGGUGGGAUGGGGAGAGAAGUUUGCCUGCGGCGCGCUCCGCUCAACAUUAAACUGUAUUUCAUUUUAGGGGGGAACAGCAACAAGAGGAGCCCUGCGGAGAAGCUUUCCAGGGAAUGCUGAGGGAAUAUCCGAGAGCUGAGUCACACCCGCCGCUCACAGCUGACCCCCUUUAUUGGCUCCUUUGAUUAAAUAUAAAACGAGAGAAGUCAUUAAUGUCUCCGAACUAAAGGGAAGAACUAAAGGCUCGGGUCCAGUCGGAGGGUGCUUUUUAAUUUAAUUUGUGGAGGAAGAAGACGAGCAAAGCGGCGCAAGAAAAGAAGACGACCCUUCCGAGUGAGGAAAAAACAACAAAGAGUCCGACUCAGAAUGAAUAACAACAAAAUAGAGAAGGAAAACGAGCAGAGUGAAUUCACCAACCACGAAGAGGAGGUCCGAACACUAUUCGUCAGUGGGCUACCGCUGGAUAUCAAACCACGGGAGCUAUAUCUCCUCUUCAGACCAUUUAAGGGUUACGAAGGAUCCUUGAUAAAGCUCACUUCUAAGCAGCCAGUGGGGUUUGUCAGCUUUGACAGCCGAUCAGAGGCAGAGGCUGCUAAGAAUGCCUUGAACGGUGUCCGUUUUGAUCCAGAGAUUCCCCAAACUCUGCGGCUGGAGUUCGCCAAGGCCAACACCAAGAUGGCUAAAAACAAGCUGGUCGGCACGCCCAACCCCCCUCCCUCCCAGCAGAGCCCCGGCCCUCAGUUCAUUAGCAGAGAUCCAUAUUCGUUGGCUCCCUCCUGCAGAUGGGACUCCUCAGGGAUGGAAGUCCAGACAGUUCUGCUGAAGUAUGUGUUCCUGAUGUGUGAUGGUGGCCGUGGCCGGCUGUGACGGGCUUUGCUGUUUGCCUCUUUUCCUUUUAGAAAUUAGGAGGAAUGACCUGCUUCCAGAUCCUGCAGCAGCGCACCGUCGGCAGCAGCAGCCUUAUGGGCUUCAGGACAUACUAGACCCCAGCCUCCAUCGCACAUCAAGCACCCAUCCCGAACCUCUUCCCGAAGUCUUUGCAACUCUAUUAGAUUUUUUUAUACUGUUACAUACUCGAGCUUUUAGAGGCAGCGCUUUGGCUACACCUCCUCUGACUCGUACGAUGGAAACGGUCCGCGUUUUCCGAUGGCGUCGCGUACGGAAAGACCACAGGAGUAGAUCCAUGGAAGUGUGGCCAAAGUGCUUUUGAGUAAUGUUGUUAUAAUACUAGAAUUAUUACUAUUCUGUAUAUCAUUCAUAUCAAUGUUAUUAUAAUAAAUACAUGUCGAAGCAUGACUUUGCAAAAAAAAUAAAUAAAUAAAAAAAAACAACAAUGCUGUACAUUUUUAGAUAUUUUAAAGAAGUACAAAAAAGUAUUUUUGUAAUCAAGACAAUGUUGAAAUGUUUUGAUCGGUUCAUGUUGUGUAUGAGAAAUUGUCAUACCUUGAUUUUUGCCUUUUUUUGGUGUUUUGUGCCAUUUAUAAAAUUACAAGUUGUCCUUCCAUACCAAAGCAGUCAUAUCAGUUUGCCUCUUUGUCUUUUCUACACAACAAUCUGUAGAUUUUGGUUUGCUAAUUUUUCCUUUUUUUUUUUUUUUUCAUUGAGCCAAGUUAAAUCAGAAGUCCCCAUUUUUUUUGCGCUGUAGGCUGUCAUAAUCAGAUGUGCCAGUGGAGGCAUCGACAGGAUUAAAGCCAUCGCCGGUGAAAGUAAAAAAGUGACCCCAGAGACGACAACGACUCGCAAACUCAACUCCACUAUUAUUAGAAAUCUGCUCCUUCAUUUUGUAGCAAGAGGACAACAGAUAAGUACAGAGAAACAAAAAGACCAAAGGCUUUUUUUCUUUUCUUACACUGGUGUGCUAUUUAGAAUUCAAUGUCUCACUGCUUUGUAGUCCUCGGUCUGAUAUUUCUUAUGAAGUAAGAUAUUAUUUUUGCUGCAUGUCCCUCUUGGUGUCACUCCAAAGAGUCCUUCAGCAUCUGAACGAAUUUUCACUUUAAACGAUUUGUCUCUUUUGUCUAUUUUUAGGAAGCCUGCGUGAUUCAACUAGCUUUUGUCGAGUUUGUAUUUGCAUAUUAAUGAUCGAGAUGAGUGGGGGGGGGGAAUAAUUUCUAAUCUGGUGUCUUUCUGCAAUAACAUAUGCUGUGCAACAUAUCAUGAACUGAUCAUGUUUCUGUGACAUUUUUAAUGACAAAAUUAUGAUCCUCGUCCCAUUUGUACAAAAAUCAAGCGCUUGUACUCGAUUCUGGUACUUUUCUGAUACAGAUGUGGCGCUAAAGAAAAAAAAAAAACACUGAAAUGCUGUAAGAAGUAAACAAUACUCCCUGUAAUCUUUAACCCAGAUAUUUAAGAUAAUCUAGGACGAGUUGAGUCAUGUACAUUUCUCAGUGUUUCUUCAUGUUGAAUAAUAAUAUGCGUCAUAUAACGGUGGACCAUAUCACCUGAGUACAUGAAGACCUUUUCUCUUUUUCUUGCUUUUACAAUUUUAAACCAAGUGUGGAGCCAAAUUUAUUAGAACAAGUAUUUAUAAAAAAAGUGUGAGUGUUUUUUUUUUUCUUUUAAAAGAUCAUAGAAGAUGCCUAUUGUAUGAUUCACUGUAAGUAUUAUUGUAAGUUCAAUUGUAUAAUCAUUUGCUUCUUUUGGUUUGUAGCUGUCUGAUUGGAACAGUCUGUGUUUGAUAUGUGAAUACUCCUGUAAUUCACUGUGAAAGUCGGAGAACAAAUAGAUCUUUUCAUGUUUUUCCAGCCUUAUGGUACAUAAAUUUCCUGGAGGUUGAUGAGAUGACCCCUCUGUUAAUGAAAGAUAUUUCUUUGCUUGGUUCAGUGUGUGUAACUGUGUGUUGUGCAUGUUCACGGCAUGUUUGUUCUUUUUCUUAAUGCUUACAGUGCUGUUGAUAUUUAUGUACUUUAGCCACUGUGAGGAGGAAUUUGACCUCAGUGAGUUGCAGAAAUUUGUUGGUUUGAAACACACACACAAAAAAAGGUGAUCUAAUGGAGCCGUUUUUAUGAAUAUGUUAAAUGAAGACAUUUGGGUAAAUCUGCCAUUAAAGAUUGAGAUUAAAGCUGC